GGGGUUGUGACUAGUGGUAUGGUGCUUGUCUAGCAUGUAUGAGGCACUGGGUUCGAUCCUCAGCACCACA
rnacentral:tRNA from 1 species